rnacentral:rRNA from 1 species
UACGGAGGGUGCGAGCGUUUAUCCGGAAUCAUUGGGCGUAAAGGGCGCGUAGGUGGCUUCUUAAGCGUGCGGUGAAAGCCUGGGGCUCAACCCCGGGGUCGGCCGUGCGAACUGGGGGGCUGGAGCACUGUAGAGGCAGGCGGAAUUCCGGGUGUGAGCGGUGGAAUGCGUAGAGAUCCGGAGGAACACCAGUGGCGAAGGCGGC